rnacentral:rRNA from 1 species
GCUUAUGACCACACCGGCCUGAGUACGCCUGAUCUCAGAAGCUAAGCAGGGUCGGGCCUGGUUAGUACUUGGAUGGGAGACCACCUGGGAAUACCAGGUGCUGUAAGCG